rnacentral:rRNA from 1 species
GAUUUCUGACUUGAUGCGCCUGGCCCGCCUCUUUUAGAGGUGCGUGACGGUGCGCGUUGCGUCAUCCUUGUAGAGAGUUUGCAUGCCCUUUACUGGGAGGUGCAGGCUAUCUACAUCUUUUACUUUGAAAAAAUUAGAGUGUUCAAAGCAGGCUUACGCUGUGAAUACAUUAGCAUGGAAUAAUAAUCUAGGACUUCGGUUCCUAUUUUGUUGGUUUCUAGGACUGAAGUAAUGAUUGAUAGGGAUAGUUGGGGGUGCUAGUAUUCAGCGGCCAGAGGUGAAAUUCUUGGAUUCGCUGAAGACUAACUAAUGCGAAAGCAUU